rnacentral:snRNA from 1 species
GUGCUUGCUUCAGCAGCACACAUACUAAAAUUGGAAUGAUACAGAGACCAUUAGCAUGGCCCCUGCGCAAGGAUGACUCGCAAAUUUGUGAAGUGUUCCAUAUUUUU